CCUACGGGAGGCAGCAGUCGGGAAUAUUGCGCAAUGGAGGAAACUCUGACGCAGUGACGCCGCGUAUAGGAAGCAGGUUUUCGGAUUGUAAACUAUUGUCGUUAGGGAAGAUAAAAGACUGUACCUAAGGAGGAAGCCCCGGCUAACUAUGUGCCAGCAGCCGCGGUAAUCCAUAGGGGGCAAGCGUUAACCGGAAUUAUUGGGUGUAAAGGGUGCGUAGACGGAAGAACAAGUGGGUUGUGAAAUCCCUCGGCUCAACCGUAAAAUUGCAAUUGAUACUGGCAGUCUUGAGUACAGUUGAGGUAGGCGGAAUUCGUGGUGUAGCGAUGAAAUGCUUAGAUAUCACGAAGAACUCCGAUUGCGAAGGCAGCUUACUAAACUGCCACUGACAUUGAUGCUCGAAAGUGUGGGUAUCAAACAGGAUUAGAUACCCGAGUAGUC
rnacentral:rRNA from 1 species